UUCAUGUUGCGUUCGUAUACGGCCCGACGACCACAAGCUUCUACUGAAACCCUAAUCAGCCUCUACGCUCUCCUUCGUGUUCUUUGCUCACCUUCGAUCGGCGCAGAUGCGAUCCAGAAUCUGUAACGGUUCUCCGAGAGUUAAUGGUCUUAAAUCGUCUUCAAUCGCCAUCCCACUACGAAGCUCUCUCCUGCGCCGUUCGGCUGCUAAAACGUGUAUAAAUAUGCUGCAAUCUCACCGAGGACAUCAAGGAGAAGAUUCCCUAUGUGGCGUUGGAUUAUGAGCAGGAGGUUGAGACAGCCAAAUCAAGCUCUGCAAUCAAGGUAAUGUUAUGUGAGACUUUCAAGAUGGAGCAUCCUAAGGAACAAAUAUACUGCUGCUUGGAUGCUUGAUGUGAGUGGCUCCUUCUCACCUUGCAGGUUCUUUUGUAACUUAGCCUCUUGAUCUUAAAGGCACACUGAAGUUGAAUUUUAAUCCAAAACCAGGUUAGAAUGUUUCCUGGUUAGAAUGUUUACUGGAGACAAUGCUAUACUUCCUCUCAGCACAUACUCAUAAUUGUUUUAUUAUCUCAGUUGACAUGUUCUUAAACUAACUGUAAUACUUGCAUUUCACACUAAUUCAGAAGGCACUUUAUGUUGCAAAAGUUGAAGAACAUGAAAAACUACAACAAUUACCUGGAGGAAGGUCGGAGUGAAGAUGAGGCCGUUCAGUUUUAUUUUCAGAGGUUAACAAUGACAACGAUGCUUAGGAGGGUAGUUAAGAGGAUGGAAGCUAAUGACUAAGAAGUUGAAGUUUGUAGCAUGAGUAAAUCUCUCUGCUUUAAAAAAAAAAAGGUUUUCUCAAAUGUUUAUGGAGCUGAUGUCUUUCUUUUUCUUUUUUCCUGCUUUUGUACUUCCACAAUACAUAUUUUAAAACUAUCUCAAAAGACUCAGGGAUUUCAGAAUAUUACAGACAAGUUCAUGGAGCUUAGUACUAAGUUACUAACAGCAAGAUCUGCCAGCUGAGCUUUGUUGUGUUACUGGAGGAUCAAGAAGUCAACAAGAUGAUGCUCUUUAUUGGUGUAAUGUAGAAUACAUUCUUCCUGGCGAAGUCAAGUUGUUGUGAAAGACAUUCUCAAGUUCGUGGAAAAUAUUUGAUUGAGCAUGUUGAAAACCCCAAGAUGCUGUUGAGAAGACAACUAUUUAGUAUGUAUCAGAUAUUCAGAUGGAGAAGAAGUCAAGGAUGGAACUUUCAGACAUGAAACAAUAUUGAUUACUAUGUACCCACACAAUACCAAUCUUUUUUUUUUGUGUACCAAUUAUAUGUAUGUAUGUAUGUUGGGUAGUACCUAAAAAUUUGAUACUAAAAUAUUAUACAGAUCUUUUAUAUAAUA